rnacentral:rRNA from 1 species
UGGGGAAUAUUGCACAAUGGGCGCAAGCCUGAUGCAGCGACGCCGCGUGAGGGAUGACGGCCUUCGGGUUGUAAACCUCUUUCAGUAGGGAAGAAGCGUAAGUGACGGUACUUGCAGAAGAAGCGCCGGCUAACUACGUG